rnacentral:rRNA from 1 species
AGAGCGAACGCUGGCGGCAGGCCUAACACAUGCAAGUCGAGCGCCCGUAGCAAUACGGGAGCGGCAGACGGGAUAGUAACACGUGGGAACGCGCCCUUCGGUUCGGAAUAACUCAGGGAAACUUGAGCUAAUACCGAAUACGCCCUUACGGGGAAAGAUUUAUUGCCGAAGGAACGGCCCGCGUCCGAUUAGCUAGUUGGUGAGGUAAUGGCUCACCAAGGCUACGAUCGGUAGCUGGUCUGAGAGGAUGACCAGCAUCACUGGGACUGAGACACGGCCCAGACUCCUACGGGAGGCAGCAGUGGGGAAUAUUGGACAAUGGGCGCAAGCCUGAUCCAGCCAUGCCGCGUGGAUGAUGAAGGCCUUAGGGGUUGUAAAGUCCUUUUAACGGGGAAGAUAAUGACGGUACCCGUAGAACUAAGCCCCGGCUAACUUCGUGCCAGCAGCCGC